rnacentral:rRNA from 1 species
UGUAGUGGGGGAUAACCCGGGGAAACUCGGGCUAAUACCGCAUACGCUCUACGGAGGAAAGCCGGGGACCGCAAGGCCUGGCGCUAGUAGAUGAGCCCAAAUCGGAUUAGCUAGUUGGUGAGGUAACGGCUCACCAAGGCGACGACGGGUAGCCGGCCUGAGAGGGCGACCGGCCACUGGGACUGAGACACGGCCCAGACUCCUACGGGAGGCAGCAGUGGGGAAUAUUGCGCAAUGGGCGAAAGCCUGACGCAGCGACGCCGCGUGGGGGAUGACGGCCUUCGGGUUGUAAACCUCUUUCAGCAGGGACGAAGUUGACGUGUACCUGCAGAAGAAGCGCCGGCUAACUACGUGCCAGCAGCCGCGGUAAUACGUAGGGCGCAAGCGUUGUCCGGAAUUAUUGGGCGUAAAGAGCUCGUAGGUGGCUUGUCACGUCGGGUGUGAAAGCUUGGGGCUUAACUCCAGGUCUGCAUUCGAUACGGGCUGGCUAGAGGUAGGUAGGGGAGAACGGAAUUCCUGGUGUAGCGGUGAAAUGCGCAGAUAUCAGGAGGAACACCGGUGGCGAAGGCGGUUCUCUGGGCCUUACCUGACGCUGAGGAGCGAAAGCGUGGGGAGCGAACAGGAUUAGAUACUCUGGUAGUCCACGCUGUAAACGUUGGGCGCUAGGUGUGGGGACCUUCCACGGUUUCCGCGCCGUAGCUAACGCAUUAAGCGCCCCGCCUGGGGAGUACGGCCGCAAGGCUAAAACUCAAAGGAAUUGACGGGGGCCCGCACAAGCGGCGGAGCAUGUUGCUUAAUUCGACGCAACGCGAAGAACCUUACCAAGGCUUGACAUUGCCCGGAAACACUCAGAGAUGGGUGCCUCUUCGGAUCGGGUGACAGGUGGUGCAUGGCUGUCGUCAGCUCGUGUCGUGAGAUGUUGGGUUAAGUCCCGCAACGAGCGCAACCCUUGUUCAAUGUUGCCAGCAACAUCCUUCGGGGUGGUUGGGGACUCAUUGGAGACUGCCGGGGUCAACUCGGAGGAAGGUGGGGAUGACGUCAAGUCAUCAUGCCCCUUAUGUCUUGGGCUGCAAACAUGCUACAAUGGCCGGUACAGAGGGCUGCGAUACCGCAAGGUGGAGCGAAUCCCUAAAAGCCGGUCUCUGUUCGGAUUGGGGUCUGCAACUCGACCCCAUGAAGUCGGAGUCGCUAGUAAUCGCAGAUCAGCAACGCUGCGGUGAAUACGUUCCCGGGCCUUGUACACACCGCCCGUCACGUCACGAAAGUCGGCAACACCCGAAGCCCGUGGCCCAACCAGCUUGCUGGGGGGAGCGGUCGAAGGUGGGGCUGGCGAUUGGGACGAAGUCGGAACAAGGUA